AUGGGAUGGAGCUGGAACAUUCUCUUCCUUGUGUCAGUAGCUACAGGUGUCCACUCCCAGGUCCAGCUGCAGCAGUCUGGGCCUGAGCUGGUGAAACCUGGGGCCUUAGUGAAGUUGUCCUGCAAGGCUUCUGGCUUCAACAUUGCUAACACUUACAUACACUGGGUGAAGCAGAGGACUGGCCAGGGACUGGAGUGGAUUGGAAGGAUCGAUCCUGCAAAUGGUAAUACUAAGUACAAUCAGAAGUUCCAGGACAAGGCCAAACUGACUGCAGACAAAUCCUCCAACAUAGCCGACAUGGAGCUCAGCAGCCUGACAUCUGAGGACUCUGGGGUCUAUUUCUGUGCAAGAAACACAGUGUUGCAACCCACAUCCUGA